GACGAACGCUGGCGGCGUGCCUAAUACAUGCAAGUAGAACGCUGAAGGAGGAGCUUGCUUCUCUGGAUGAGUUGCGAACGGGUGAGUAACGCGUAGGUAACCUGCCUGGUAGUGGGGGAUAACUAUUGGAAACGAUAGCUAAUACCGCAUAAUAGCAGUUGUUGCAUGAUAACUGUUUGAAAGGUGCAAUUGCACCGCUACCAGAUGGACCUGCGUUGUAUUAGCUAGUUGGUGGGGUAACGGCUCACCAAGGCGACGAUACAUAGCCGACCUGAGAGGGUGAUCGGCCACACUGGGAAUGAGACACGGCCCAGACUCCUACGGGAGGCAGCAGUAGGGAAUCUUCGGCAAUGGACGGAAGUCUGACCGAGCAACGCCGCGUGAGUGAAGAAGGUUUUCGGAUCGUAAAGCUCUGUUGUAAGAGAAGAACGAGUGUGAGAGUGGAAAGUUCACACUGUGACGGUAUCUUACCAGAAAGGGACGGCUAACUACGUG
rnacentral:rRNA from 1 species